rnacentral:rRNA from 1 species
CAGCAGCCACGGGAAUACGUAGGUGGCAAGCGUUGUCCGGAAUUGUUGGGCGUAAAGGGCUCGCAGGCGGUUUCUUAAGUCUGAUGUGAAAGCCCCCGGCUCAACCGGGGAGGGUCAUUGGAAACUGGGAAACUUGAGUGCAGAAGAGGAGAGUGGAAUUCCACGUGUAGCGGUGAAAUGCGUAGAGAUGUGGAGGAACACCAGUGGCGAAGGCGACUCUCUGGUCUGUAACUGACGCUGAGGAGCGAAAGCGUGGGGAGCGAACAGGAUUAGAGACCCCUGUAGUCCCUGUCUCUUAUAC